rnacentral:rRNA from 1 species
AAAGCCGGAUUAAUACCGCAUACGAUCUACGGAUGAAAGCGGGGGAUCGCAAGACCUCGCGCUAUAGGGGCGGCCGAUGGCGGAUUAGCUAGUUGGUGGGGUAAAGGCCCACCAAGGCGACGAUCCGUAGCUGGUCUGAGAGGACGACCAGCCACACUGGGACUGAGACACGGCCCUUACUCCUACGGGAGGCAGCAGUGGGGAAUUUUGGACAAUGGGCGCAAGCCUGAUCCAGCAAUGCCGCGUGUGUGAAGAAGGCCUUCGGGUUGUAAAGCACUUUUGUCCGGAAAGAAAUCCUCUGGGUUAAUACCCCGGGGGGAUGACGGUACCGGAAGAAUAAGCACCGGCUAACUACGUGCCAGCAGCCGCGGUAAUACGUAGGGUGCGAGCGUUAAUCGGAAUUACUGGGCGUAAAGCGUGCGCAGGCGGUGAUGU